rnacentral:rRNA from 1 species
GACGAACGCUGGCGGCGUGCUUAACACAUGCAAGUCGAACGGAAAGGCCUGCUUUCCCUUGUGGAUUGCGGGUACUCGAGUGGCGAACGGGUGAGUAACACGUGAGUGAUCUGCCCCCAACUUGGGUAUAAGCCUGGGAAACUGGGUCUAAUUCCCGAUAGGACUGCAGGGUGGUGCCUGUGGUGGAAAACGAUUUUCUAGUGGUUGGGGAUGAGCUCGCGGCCUAUCAGCUUGUUGGUGGGGUAAUGGCCUACCAAGGCGGCGACGGGUAGCCGGCCUGAGAGGGUGGACGGCCACAUUGGGACUGGGAUACGGCCCAGACUCCUACGGGAGGCAGCAGUGGGGAAUAUGGCACAAUGGGCGGAAGCCUGAUGCAGCGACGCCGCGUGGGGGAUGACGGCCUUCGGGUUGUAAACUCCUUUCGACCGCGAGGAAGCCACCUGGUUGGAAGGGUGGUGACGGUAGUGGUAGAAGAAGCACCGGCUAACUACGUG